AUUCACCCGGUUUUCCAUGUGUCGCAGCCCAAGCCGUUCACGCUGGACUACUCUCCAGUCUUUAAUCAGCUGUCGGCGCCACCUGAUCUCACAAUUGGUGACUUGGUGCCGCAAGCCAUCUUGGAGCGCCGUUUGGUCAAGCAGGGGAACACGGCGAUUCUGCGGGUCUUGGUUCAUUGGCGCACCUUGUCGCCGACGAGUGCGACGUGGGAGAACUACAAUGUCCUACGGCAGCGUUUCCCGGACAUCGAUCUCGUCGCGGGAGCUCCUUCUCAAGGAGGGGCAAAUGUCACGCCCUCCUCUCCUGCUGCAACCACAGACGAGACGGCGGACAGCAAGGCACCCAUGGUGCGACUACGGGAGGAGAACGACAAGGGCCCACGUGAAGAGGAUGAAGACUAG
rnacentral:rRNA from 1 species